UUUGCUGGGCAUUAACCUUGAGUUUUGGAGUUGUAGUUCACCUACAUCCAGAGAGCACUGUGGACUCCAAACAAUGAUGGAUCUGGGCCAAACCUGGCACCGAUACUCAAUAUGUCCAAAUUUGAACACUGGUAGAGCUUGGGGAAGAUAGUCCUUGAUAUUUGGGAGUUGUAGUUGCUGGGAUUUAUAGUUCACCUACAAUCAAAUAGCCUCUUGAACCCCACCAACGAUAGAAUUGGGCCAAACUUCCCACACCGAACUCCCAUGACCAACAGAAAAAUACUGGAGGUAUUUGGGUUCCUAGGACCAUCAGAAAUAUGUGUUUUCUGAUGGUCUUUGGUCCCGACCUCCAGGUUGAGAUACACUGCCAUAGAGACUAACUGAGAUGUGUCUGUACAAUAUAAUGACUGCAGUUUGAUUGCUAUACCUCCAUGGUAUGGAAUUAUGGGAGUUACAAGGUAGUUUUGCCAGGUAGUUAGCCUUCUUUGCCUGAGAGUGCUAGACAUCCCCAAAUUACAACUCUCAGGAUCCCAUAGAUCUAUUCUAGACGGUCGGCAACACCCACUCCAUAGAAGUCAAGUAUUGUGCCUUGGAGGUUAUUCCAAUUACUUUGAAAUACCACAAAUGAACACCAUGCUCUCUCAAUGCUCAGUUGGCUCAUCCUUCUUGGCUGUAAGUUUGGCUUUGUUUUGAAACCCAAACCUACAAUGUAGUGUGAAUCAUACAUUGUUGUGAUGUCGUUGUCAAGUUGGCGGAGACUUGAGAAAACCCUAUGAAUGGGAGACCUCCAAAAGCCUUGGUCGAAUCUCGUGGUUUCCUUUCAUUGCACUGUCUUCCCAAGAGCAGGUAAAACUAUCCCAACAAGUAUUUGCACCUCCACAUGGCCAAGGCAACGUCCUGUUCCCAAUGCAACUGCUCUCCCUGCUGUUGCGAGCAGUGCUGUUGUAUCCCUUGCGAAUCAUGCGCUUGCUGUCCCCAUUGCGGUGUCUGUCCAUGUUCUUGCCGCAACCGACACGCCAGUUCUGAUUCCUACAGCUGUUUGUGUCAUGAAUGUGGUUAUCCUAACUGAGAUGAAUGCUGAUGAUGCCUAAGGGAAGCCUGGAAGUCAAGUGAGGAACUUGCAACCUGUUGGACAUGACACCUAGAUUUGCAUUCUAUGGGCCAACACCUUGCAUCAACAGUAUUAUUAUAUUGACAGUGGCAGCCAUUUUUGGAUCAUCAGAGGGAUGUGAGUCUUCAAUGAACUUUCCAAGGUGCUGAGCCCAACCCCAGAAGAAAUCCAGAACUUUGGAGAGCUCCUCUCAAGCAUAAGUGAGCAAGGACAGAGUAUUGACACUACGUGUUCUUCCACACCUUUGAUUGAUUUCUUUGUUGAUGCAAAAUUUAACAGUGUAUAUAGGAAACAAUAAAAUUGGUGAAAAAGAUACUCUGUGCUGCGUAAGUGAAUUUAUGUUCCUCAAUAAAGUGGAAGUUCCAUAAUCGAGUUGGUAGAAUUCGAGUUGGUAGAAUGCUGCGUAAGUGAAUUUAUGUUCCUCAAUAAGGUGGAAGUUCCAUAAUCGAGUUGGUAGAAUUCCCAUUUUGAAUAGAGAGGACAAUAAUCACAUUCCAACGUACCUUCAUUUGGUAGGAAUGCAAGUUUUUAUCUCAUUCAUCCCUGUGUAUCAGGCCAAUAAUCUCCAGAGUUUUCUUCCAACCCAACUACAAAUCUCAGUAUUCCAUAGCAUUGAGCCAUGAUAGUUAAUGAAAUCCAAUACUUACUUUUGGUGCUUGGGCGGAACAUGAAAAUAGUUAAUUCUAGAUGGUCCACCAUGAGUUUCAUUCUAUUGGGGAGUGGGAGCAGCCUUAUUUUGCCUUCCACAUUUAGAUACAAUGUAAGAUAGAUGGGGAUUCCUCUCCUCAAGUGACUGUUUGGACCUGUUGUCUCUACAUGAUCCCAAGUGACCAAUGGACAUCUGUAAUGACUGAUAGGGGUGGCCAAUUAAAUGUGAAAGAAGCAAUACAAACAAAUAAUCAAUCUUCUUCUGAAUGCUGGACUUCCAUGUUCAUCAGAACUUCUUUUGACACCUUCUGUAAGUUCACGAACAAUGCUACCUAACAUAGUGGUCACUUGUUGAGCACAGUAAAGUGAAUGAGGUGGAGACCAAAUAUAUUUGAUCUAAUAAUGAGUUAUGGGCCAUUCCUUAUACUGUAUGUGUAAAUGAUCAUAUAUAGUGUUCCUCAAGGACUUGGGGUGGUAUGAAUAAUUCUAAAACCUGAACAAGGCAGGGUUUAGGAUGGCUAAAGGUAAAGGUUUCUCCUGACGUUAAGUCCAGUCAUGUCUGACUCUGGAGGUUGGUGCUCAUCUCCAUUUCUAAGCCGAAGAGCUGGCGUUGUCUAAAUCUAUAUAAAUAAAAAUGUGAUGUCUCAGGCACCUUUGGCCCCUGACCCCGCAGCCAUUGCUGACCAAAUUGAAGAGGACUUGGGUUUUUUCCCAAGUGAGUAGGAUUCAGUUUCUUUCCAGAUGCCUUCUGUUGACAUUUCUGUGCCAGAGCCAAUUAAAGAUGGCCUUGAGAAGGAGCCGGCUCUUCCCGGCUCUCCGGAGGAGUUACCGUUCGAUAGAAGGGCUUUUUUGAAAACAGACCGCUCUCUAAGGCAAUCUUUAAGAAGAAGUGUCAGAUUAGCAGAGCGAGGCGAUUGUGACUGAACCCAGUUCUCUUGGAAAGAAUUGGGGAGGCAGGCACCUGGCAUAAUGUUUUGGAGUUUCAGUUCUCUUGGGGAGAUUUAACACCUGGUUUGGGGGAGCUAUGAACUUCAAUAAAAGUUGUGCGCGGAGAAUCUUCUGUGCGGUGUCAACUUAACUUUGGACUAAGAAGUAGCGUCGCCUCUCAUUCCUGAUUUCCUAGCGGCCUGACGGUGCGCUUACUCUGGAGUAGACUGGGUGUUGGUUUACCUUCUUGCCAUGAUGGAACUGCGUUUCAGCUCCUGAACUUCCAGCUUGCCUUGCCUUGAAACCCUGCUUGGAACCUUGCUUCUAAAGGACUCUUCUUGCUCUCUGCUCUUUUCCCCACUCAAAACUCGGGCAGAGUUUGAGUGUGUUUUGGAUAUUGGCUUUUGAACUUUAAUACCAGACAUAAGACUUUAUAUUAUUGGACUAAAAUUGAUCUUACCUGGAAGGUCAAUUGCUACUUCUACUUAACUGCUUAUUUCCAUUUGGAACUUUUAUUGCUUUAAUAAAGAGCCUUCUCUGUGGUGCCUUUUAUUGCUUUAAUAAAGGGCCUUCUCUGUGGUGGCCCCCCGACUCUGGAACACCCUCCCCAAGGAUCUCAGACAGGCCCCUACAUUGGCAGUCUUCAGAAAGAACUUGAAGACCUGGCUGUUCCAAUGUGCCUUCCCAGAUUAAUAGGAAAUCUCCAACACCAACUCCCAUAAGCACUUUAUUAGAACUAAGAUCGUAUAUCGCACUCUGCACUUGCCCUAUAAGCCUUAUAUAUCACCUGUCACAUCAGCACUUUUAAUCUUGUACCCAUUACUCUGGCCCGGCCCAGUUUUAUUGUGUUUUAGCGUAUUGUUUAUUGCUUGUUGUUUAUAUUGUUUUAAUUGUUUUAAUUUGCCUUUUGUUUUGUAUUGUUAUAUUGUGUGUUGAGGCCUUGGCCUUUGUAAGCCACAUCAAGUCCUUCGGGAGAUGCUAGCGGGGUAAAAAUAAAGUUUAAUAAUAAUAAUAAUAAUAAUAAUAAUAAUAAUAAUAAUAAUAAUAAUAUAAUUAAUUAUAUUGUUAUUGGC
ensembl:lncRNA